rnacentral:lncRNA from 1 species
UAAAAUAUGAUGAUUAAUGAUGAAUGAACUUUGCCUGGUAGAAAUACGAAGGGCACACCAGGCUGAGAGAAGUGCUUGUGGAAAAACACUCAGAGGCUCCAGAGGCUCCUGGUGCAGGGCAGGAGGAUUUGCAGAGGGAGCUGUGGGCAGUGACGUUGCAGAAGAAAGAAGGGCCAGAAUAGGAGGACUCGAAAGGGGACACCUGGGAGGACUGUCACUGGGGACCUGUGAGUUUCCCAGGGUCAGAGGUGCCAACUUCACAGACACAGCUUCAGAAAAGCACCCACGUGACUGA